GACAUAGGUGGCGACCGUUAUCCGGAAUUAUUGGGCGUAAAGGAUGCGUAGAUGGUAGAAUAAGUUAUUGGUCGAUGCCAAACUCAAUUUGGCGGAAGCUGGUAAUACUGUUCAACUAGAGGACAGGAGAGGUUGAUGGAAUUCUGCGUGGAGCGGUGAAAUGCGUUGAUCUGCAGAGGAACACCAAAAAAGGCGAAGGCAGCUCGCUGGGACGGUACUGACGCUGAGGUGCGAAAGCGUGGGGAGCGAACAGG
rnacentral:rRNA from 1 species